GUCGGGAUGAGAUUGAGAGAGAUAAUGAGAAAGAGUAACAAAAUUGAAAAUAAAAACUUGAAAGUGAAAACAAUUUCAAAUAGUUUUCAGUCUUUUGUUUUUGUUUUCACUUUUGUACUCCUCUCUCUCAUCCACUCCUUUCAUCUUUCCUCUCAAUC
rnacentral:miRNA from 1 species